UCAGUAACACGUAGUCAACCUGCCCUGGAGACAUGGACAACCCCGGGAAACUGGGAUUAAUCCGUGAUAGGUCAUCCCAUCUGGAAGGAGGGAUGGCUUAAAGNGGGUACGCGGGCUUCUUCUGCGUAUUCGCUCCAGGAUGGGACUGCGUCCGAUCAGGCUGUUGGCGGGGUAAUGGCCCACCAAACCUGUAACCAGGUACGGGCCUUGAGAGAGAUGGCCCGGAGAUGGACACUGAGAGUAAGGGUACCAGGUCCUACCGGGGCGCAGCAGGCAGACGAAACCUGUCGCAAUGCGCGAAAGCGUGACGAGGUUAAUCCGAGUGGUCUCCGCAUGAGGAGACCUCUUUGUCAGCUGUAAAUAGGCGGGCGAAUAAGGGGAGGGCAAGCCUGGUGCCA
rnacentral:rRNA from 1 species